rnacentral:rRNA from 1 species
AUUGAACGCUGGCGGCAUGCCUAACACAUGCAAGUCGAACGGUAACAGGCAGCAAGGUGCUGGCGUGAGGCGAGGGGGGGUGAAUUACGUCGAGAAGUCCCCAUGGGAGGGGGAGAUCAAGUCCGAAGAGUAGCGCUAAUCGCACACGAGCCCUGGGUGAGAGAGGGGGGGAGCAACGGAUCGCACGCUUUCAGAUGCCCAUAGGUCGGAUUAGGUAGUUGGGGGGGUAAAGGCACACCAAGGCCACGAUCUGUAGCUGGUCUGAGAGGAUGAACAGCCACACUGGAACUGAGACACGGCCCAGACUCCUACGGGAGGCAGCAGUGGGGAAUAUUGGACAAUGGGCGCAAGCCUGAUCCAGCCAUGCCGCGUGCAUGAAGAAGGUCUUCGGGUUGUAAGGUGCUUUAGUAUGGGAGGAAGCGCAGCAAGUUAAUACCCUGCUCUAUUGACGUUACCAUAAGAAUAAGCACCGGCUAACUACGUG